GGGAGACUGAAGAAGCCAGUCUGUCCCACACCGGGAGACUCUGUCCAAAACAAAACAGAAACAACAGUAACAAAACUGGAGAAUGCCAGCCGGGAAGACUGUUGAUUAGCGGUGUUUCUUGUGGUUUUUACCUUGUAGCCAGGGUGCCCUGGAACAUGACAGCCUCCUCCUUUGGCCACCAGAGUGCUAGGGACAGCCUGCAAGAGCGUUUCUUGGCGUAGCCCUGGCAUUCUUGAUUCCUGGCCUUUGCCUCCUGACACUGAAGAAAUUUCUUAGCAGACAAAUGUCUCUGAUGGUGUGUGAGAGGUUAAGUCUCUGCUACCUGCGGACUGAGCCAAUUCAAGCCAGAUUAUAUUAUACUAAAGGAGUCCAUUUGUGUUGAAGUUUGGGCCAAGGAUGUGGGGCCGUAAAGCCUUGAGCAGCGACACAGCAAGCAUAAAGGACUAAGGAAGAUGGACGCCUAAUACUUUCAGUCUAGGGGGCCAAUGACCUGGCUCUGGAACCACCAGCAGAAAGGUUCACCCCUGGAUAGUUAGAAUACUUACCCUUUUAAUGAGAUGCUGUGCCUUCCCUUCCCAGAACUCCCACACCCCUGCAGGUUUGCAGGGCUGCACUCAGCCACAAGUGCUUUUCUUUUAGGAUCUUAGGGGGAAAAAAUGUAACUUUUCCUUUGUUCUAUCUUGGCUGCAAGUGGCUGCCCGCUGCUCUGUGUGUGUGUGUGUGUGUGUGUGUGUGUGUGUGUGUGUGUGUGUGUGUGUGUGACCUCCAACCUCAGAUUAGCUGGAAUGGGAUGGGGUUGUUUUUUUCUUUUUCUCUUCUCCAGUAGUCCCCUCUGGGAAGCUACUGAGAUUUCCAGCUUCUCUGCCUGGUCCUUUUGUUUGCUUGUUUGUUUGUUUUAACUUCUGAUACAAUUGUCCUUCAUCUUCU
ensembl:lincRNA 4930578M01Rik RIKEN cDNA 4930578M01 gene